rnacentral:misc_RNA from 1 species
UCGCAUCCGUUCGGUGCAUUCUGGGGUCGUUUUCGGAUUUUGGUUGUUCGCUUGGCUUUCGAGUCUCGCGGGUGGCUGAUUGCUGGGGCGGCUUCGGGGAUGUCUAUCGUAAAGGUGCAUGAGUGGUGUUUGGUUUGAUACGGGUGGUUGGCUCCCUGCUUGAGCAGGCACGGCCUCGCGUACAUUCCUUUUCAGUUGUGCGACAAGGCUUGUAUCGCCUUGAUCGUAUAUGUGGGUUUCCUGUGUUGCAUACCUGAUCAAAGGAAUYGUCUAGAUCAAAAAAGUCCCUUUUCGUCAAGCGUUGCCCUUGUAAUGUCGGACGAACCAUGAAGCACCUUCUUUGAUCCAUCCCGUUGAUGUGCAUUGGUCGAUGGUUUGGCCCAUUGAGGGUUGCUUGGUCUCUCGGAUGUGGAAGCAAAUGUUGGCUUGGGGUCGUAUGAUCCUUUUAUUGCCCUCGUUGAGCGUUCUCGCUUCUCUAAAACGAUCGCCUUUCACGUAUGGCACGUCCCAGCGUGUUCGGCUAACGUCGAAGAGGAAUGCUACCUGGUUGAUCCUGCCAGUAGUCAUAUGCUUGUCCUCAA